GGCUUAGUUGCUUAGUAGCUUAAAGCGCCGGACUAGCGAUACGGAGUCGUGGGUUCGAAUUCCAUCAAACCA
rnacentral:tRNA from 1 species